UCCCAGGAUUGUUUUCCAAGGACAAUUUACAGUACCCAUUGUUGGCUUUUCCUCUGGGUAAUUAGACACAACAUGGGAGCAAGGGAUCCUCAUUCAUCUUGUCACUGGGUUUUAAUUUUCUUGGUCCUUCAGCUCCCAGCUGCCCUGGCAGAUGUUCUGUCCACAAGUUCCAGGAAGUUCAGCAAUGCUUCUUCUGCACUACUUUCACCCAGAGCUGACAUGGUCUCUGAUAAAACAGCAUGUAAGCAUCUCUGCAGUUGCUGUCCCCAGAGCCCACUUCCUGGAUAUUGCCAGCUGCCUGGACCAACCUUUCCGAAAGAUCAGCCAGGUCACAGUGAGGGUCAAAGGUGAGCCACGGGCCUCAGCAGCUGCUGAGUGGAUGGUGCGUGGGACUCAGGAAGUGACGUUCUCUCCCCGCCCAGCCCCCUUCCUCAGUCUAUUGCUCCGAAUCCUGGACCACACACUGCGUGCUGAGGCUCCAUCGCUGUGCUGGGUGAGGGGUGGAGGACUGUCCAGCUGACAGCCACCCAGGAGGCCUGCCCAGGAGACCCAGCCCAGCCUCUCCUUGGAACCUGAAGAACUCCAGGCAGCUGAUGGGACACUGGGGCCCAGGUCAGCCCCUCCCCUUCCCUGAGGUUGCCUGAGGACGCCUUCACUGUUCUAGAGAAGGAGGCCCUCCCCAUGGCUGGGGACAGUCACAGCAGCUGCAGACAGAUGAUGGGAGGGAGCAUUCUUUCCCUAACCCUAGAGGCGGGCGAGCAUUCACCAAGUGUUGUUGUUAAAGAAAAAAAGAAAGAAAAAGAAACCAGGAUUGUACCUGAGGUCAGGCAGACAGUGCUCAACUCAGCACUGGGAAGAUUGCUAGAAGCCUUGGGCCUAUCUAGGAAGACUGGGCCAACAUGCGAUCCCCUCUGCAAGGUGGAGGCCAUGCACCUGCCUCCUGCUCCUGAGCUCCGGUAUCCUCACUGUGACCCAGGCCCCACUGCAGCAAAGAGACACUGGGAAUUAGCCCUUCUGUCCCCUCCUUGCCAGAAGCAGGAGGCCACUGGAGGCUCCAAGGGCUCUGAAAUGUUGAGAACUUCCCUGCAGGUACCAGCGAAGAGGGCAAGAACACAGCACUACUUCCUUGGAUACUGUUUCCCUCCUCAGAGGGGUUUUCUGAGCUGCCCUGGGUCCUGUGAGGAAGAUCUCCCCUUCCUGUAAAGACACCAGUCCUACUGGAUCAGGGCCCACCCGUGUGACUUCACUUUUACUUGAGUACCUCUCACAGACCCUAACUCCAAAUCAGGUCACUUGCUGAGGUACUGCAUGUGAAGACUUUGACAUUUGAAUUUUGAGGGGGCCACCGUUUAACCUGAACCACCAAGGACAGAGCCAAAGACCCUGGGUGACAGGCCCAGAACAGGACCUGGUGGAGGCUCUUCUUUAGGGGAGAGAGGGAAAUGGGAGCCACCACUGGCAGAGCCUGAAGGCAGGGCAGCCAGAAAGAAGCUGUGGGAGUCCCCACCAUGGAAGACCCUGCCGAGCAUCCUGUGUCUCCUGAAGCAGACCCUGACAUGAGGACUGGGGGCACGUGUUUAUUAAGGGCGAUCCCCGGAAGGAGGAGAUAACCAGGCAGAAGUCCUAGCAGAGUAUGCCCACGCUGGUUAGUGCUGCUGCAAAGAUGAGCCGAAGACCAUGAGAGACCUCCAGGUGGUCCUUCUGGGGAGAAGAAAUGGGUUUUGGCCCCAAAUCCUUCUGCUGCAUUUUUCCCCUAUCCCUGGGAAGCCAUGAGACCUCAAACCUGUGUUCCCAAGGAGGCGAGCUGCUGUUCCCAGGUGAUGAUAUGAUGUGCUUGGGGAAAGUAAGUGGCUGCCAGACAUGGCUGAGAGCUGUUGUCACUGCCGUCAAGUGCAUGUCUCCAAGCCAUAUCACACGGCGUCCCUCGAUGUGAGGCCACAUGGCAAGUGGGCCGUGGAUCUCCCUCUGCCCUUUGCAAGCACGUAAGACAGCAGAUUUUGCAGAUACCUUGUGGCGCAGGGGAAUUUCCUUUGGCCAGGUCUGAAGAAAUAAAGCAGCAGGCACCGAGAACAAAGCCAAGGCUUUCAAAAGACAAGGAGCCAAAAAACUUACUCAAAAUAAAAGUAGUUUUAAAAUGUC